rnacentral:lncRNA from 1 species
CUGAGCUGAGUUUGGGUUUAACCCUCUGAUGUCUGCUGUUUAGUUGCACACCAGAGCCUCGGGAACUCUUUCUGUAGUAAAUUAAUUUACAUUUGGAGGAUUUUCUAAAGAUGCGGGCUUCCUGUGGAGCCAGCAAGAUCAAAGUGUCUCAUUCUGUGUUUGAUGAUGUUUGAUGUUUGCUUUGAGUGUGAAUGUUGCUGACUUUUUGCUGUCUUUUUAUUUGCACAGCGGGAGGUGCUCUUUCCUGCGUUUUACUUUCUGCCUUUCGCCCAAAUUCGGGUGUGACCCCACAGAACGCUGAUGAGACAUCUUACUGUGGCCAGAGAACAUCUAAAGACCAGGAAUACAGUUACAGCAGGGUAAAAAUACUUUUCUUAAAUCUUUUUAGGAUCUGACAUCACUGCAGCCUUCACUAUUAGCAAUUAUGAUUUUUAACUGUAGGCUCUGUUGAUCUACUCCCCACUUUUAAAUGACACGAGGAAGCAUCGCAUUAUGUCCCCACCAGAAAAAUGACAGCACUUGUGAUUUGAGGACAGAGAGGAAGGCGGUGUUUUUCCCUUCUCUGUUUACAUUUAGGAACAAAUGUUGACAUGAAGGUUAAAGAGGGAGACUCUGCU